rnacentral:rRNA from 1 species
AACGAACGCUGGCGGCAUGCCUAACACAUGCAAGUCGAACGAUGCCUUCGGGCAUAGUGGCGCACGGGUGCGUAACGCGUGGGAAUCUGCCUUUCGGUUCGGAAUAACUCAGGGAAACUUGAGCUAAUACCGGAUAACGUCGCAAGACCAAAGAUUUAUCACCGAAAGAUGAGCCCGCGUAGGAUUAGCUAGUUGGUGAGGUAAAGGCUCACCAAGGCGACGAUCCUUAGCUGGUCUGAGAGGAUGAUCAGCCACACUGGGACUGAGACACGGCCCAGACUCCUACGGGAGGCAGCAGUGGGGAAUAUUGGAUAAUGGGCGAAAGCCUGAUCCAGCAAUGCCGCGUGAGUGAUGAAGGCCUUAGGGUUGUAAAGCUCUUUUACCCGGGAAGAUAAUGACGGUACCGGGAGAAUAAGCCCCGGCUAACUCCGUG